rnacentral:lncRNA from 1 species
AUCUGGUCAACUGCGGGAGAAAAAUUUUCGAGAAUUUCCAGCAGGCAAGGCAGUGGCCGCUUUGACUGCUUGCUUCGGAGAUCCGAGACGACGGAGAAGGCACUCUUAUUUACCGACCAAGAAAGCUCCUCCCCCGUCCUCCGUUAGCUAAUUAAAACAUUUUUCAGGGACGUAGCCAUCCAGAGACAUUCCAUUAUUGUUCCAUUGACCUUUCCCUCAUCACUGAGUCCUUUGGAGCUGAGUUAUGUCAACAGCUGCCUUAAUUACUUUGGUCAGAAGUGGUGGGAACCAGGGAUUUGCUUCCUAAGGAGAAGAACUUGGAAACUCUGUUGACCUUGGCUUUUCUAGAAAUAGAUAAAGCCUUUUCGAGUCAUGCCCGCCUGUCUGCUGAUGCAACUCUUCUGACCUCUGGGACUACUGCAACAGUAGCCCUAUUGCGAGAUGGUAUUGAACUGGUUGUAGCCAGUGUUGGGGACAGCCGGGCUAUUUUGUGUAGAAAAGGAAAACCCAUGAAGCUGACCAUUGACCAUACUCCAGAAAGAAAAGAUGAAAAAGAAAGG